GUAUUUAAAAAGGCACUAAGUUAAAAUAUAACUCUAAGAAACUAGAAUUAAAAGUAGUUUUAAUAACAUUAAAGAAACUCUAAAACUAUAUCUAUAGUAUUAGAUUUUUAUUAGAA